UGGGGAAUCUUCCGCAAUGGGCGCAAGCCUGACGGAGCAACGCCGCGUGAGUGAAGAAGGUCUUCGGAUCGUAAAGCUCUGUUGAUGGGGACGAACGUGCCUAAUGCGAAUAGUAUUAGGUAAUGACGGUACCCAUCGAGGAAGCCACGGCUAACUACGUGCCAGCAGCCGCGGUAAUACGUAGGUGGCGAGCGUUGUCCGGAAUCAUUGGGCGUAAAGGGAGCGCAGGCGGGCAUGUAAGUCUUUCUUAAAAGUGCGGGGCUCAACCCCGUGAUGGGAUAGAAACUAUGUGUCUUGAGUACAGGAGAGGAAAGCGGAAUUCCCAGUGUAGCGGUGAAAUGCGUAGAUAUUGGGAGGAACACCAGUGGCGAAGGCGGCUUUCUGGACUGCAACUGACGCUGAGGCUCGAAAGCCAGGGGAGCGAACGGG
rnacentral:rRNA from 1 species